rnacentral:misc_RNA from 1 species
GGGAAAACAAAAAAAAAACCUGAUUAGUGAGUAAUAAGAUGCUCAAAUUCAAAUAAGAAACUUGAAAUCCUGUUUUGGCCUAUUUCUAGCAAAUCUAGAAAUUAAAAAAAAAAAAAAUACCAUGACUUGUAAAAGCAAAGAAAAACAGAAAUACAAUGAACCAGUAGCUCAUAAACAUAAAUUAUUCAAAUCUUAAUACAUAUACUGAAAUGUCUGGAAUAGGCCCCAAGUAACAAAACUUCCAAUUCACUAAGAUAUGUCUCCAAUAUGGAAAAUCAGUAACUGAUUUAUGCAAUUUUGCUGUCACAGGUAGAAUGAAAACAAUAACAUCUAGAAUCCUUCUCAAUCUUGCUCUUGAACUUAUGUGGAAUAUUGAACCCUAUGUUAACAUAUGACUGCAAGUGUGGUCCUUAUUAUACAAGCAGACUUCUGAUUGUUAUGUCGAUAUUUAUUCCAAUUGUAUCUUUAACAACCUUGGAGACUUUUUACAGUAGCCUGACAUUCUCUUAACCAACACCACACACCAAUCAUCUCUGAACUGAUUUUUUUUUUCUUCAAUAUGCUUUCAACCCAUACUUCUUUACAUAUGAUGAAAUUAUUUUUCAUCAACGAUCCAAACAGUUAUGUUCUAGUCAAUAUCCAAUUGGUGUUCUGCUUAUGCUACAUGAUGUUUAGGAG